rnacentral:rRNA from 1 species
GUCCACGCCUAACGAUGAUGACUAGUUGUUGGAGGAGUUAAAUCCUUAGUAACGCAGCUAACGCGAGAAGUCAUCCGCCUGGGGAGUACGGUCGCAAGAUUAAACUCAAGGAAUUGACGGGCCCGGCACAAGCGGUGGAUGAUGUGGUUUAAUUCGACGCAACGCGAAACCUUAACCUACCCUUGACAUGUACGGAACCUCAUAGAGAUGUGAGGGUGCCCGAAAGGGAGCCGUAACACAGGUGCUGCAUGGCUGUCGU